AGCUGGAGGAUAGUGGAUGGUGCUUUGGGUUAGUUACCACCAAGGACAAGGCCCUGAGAUAAGGACUGCAUGUGACUUGGUCAGAAGGCUGAGUUGCCAAAGACCCUCCACAAACAAGUAGAGAGUGAGUGUGCAGGCAUACCCACUUGGCCAGUGGGUGCAUGUGAGAGGUGCAAGUCUUCAGGCUCUCAUGAACCUCCUUCUGCAAGGGAAGUGGAACUCGGCUGUUUGUGCAGAGAUCGGUAACUAGUUGGCAACAUCUGAAAUAGUUUUGCAAGGGACAAUUGGCCAAAUGCACUGGGCAUUUUGGAGCUACAAGCCCCUGGAUAUGACUAGCACGGCUACCACUCCGAAACCUAUCCACUACUGGUUUACCUGCCUGGAACAAUGGAUCUUCUACACUGGUGUGGCAAGCCUGAGGGGGGUUGGAGCUGACCAUCGUCAUACGUAGGCAGGAGGGGCUCUGGCUUGCCUGAAACACUAACAGAAUUUCAUGGGGUGAAAUCAGACUGGGGAGGGUGCAGCUUGGGACUUUUGUUGU